CCUACGGGGGGCAGCAGUGGGGAAUAUUGCGCAAUGGGCGAAAGCCUGACGCAGCGACGCCGCGUGAGGGAUGAAGGUCUUCGGAUCGUAAACCUCUGUUAGCAGGGAAGAACGGUCACUGUGCUAAUCAGCAGUGAAUUGAAGGUACCUGCAAAGGAAGCACCGGCUAACUCCGUGCCAGCAGCCGCGGUAAUACGGAGGGUGCGAGCGUUAAUCGGAAUUACUGGGCUUAAAGCGCUCGUAGGCGGUAUGUCAAGUCAAGGGUGAAAUCCCCGCGCUCAACGUGGGAACUGCCUUUGAAACUGGCGGACUGGAGUGUGUGAGAGGUUAGUGGAAUUCCAGGUGUAGCAGUGAAAUGCGUAGAGAUCUGGCGGAACAUCGGUGGCGAAGGCAGCUAUCUGGCACAUAACUGACGCUGAGGAGCGAAAGCGUGGGUAGCAAACAGGAUUAGAUACCCUAGUAGUC
rnacentral:rRNA from 1 species